AUCGUUGUGACUACCUUGCCCGUACACGUAUCUCUGGAAUCAAGCCUCCGUUAUUUUCGGAGAUAUAAGCAUAACAGGCAGUAGACAACAGUUGAUGCUCAAGGUCGAUUGUCACGGCAACGGAGCCAAAUUCAUACGAUUAAAAGCACAAAGCAUAAGGAAGUACUGCUAUUGUAAGCAAGCUCACUCCGAAGAACAAAGCGAAUCAAAAGUAG